GGAGGUAUGUGGUUUAAUUCGAUGCAACGCGAAGAACCUUACCUGGUCUUGACAUCCCGGAGACCCUUAGGAAACUAGGGGUGCUUCCAUCUGGAAGAAUCUGGAGACAGGUGCUGCAUGGCUGUCGUCAGCUCGUGUCGUGAGAUGUUGGGUUAAGUCCCGCAACGAGCGCAACCCUUGCCUUUAGUUGCCAGCAGUUCGGCUGGGCACUCUAAAGGGACUGCCGGUGUUAAACCGGAGGAAGGUGGGGAUGACGUCAAGUCCUCAUGGCCUUUAUGACCAGGGCUACACACGUACUACAAUGGCCGAUACAAAGGGCAGCGACACUGCGAGGUGAAGCCAAUCCCGUAAAAUCGGUCUCAGUCCGGAUUGGAGUCUGCAACUCGACUCCAUGAAGUUGGAAUCGCUAGUAAUCGUGGAUCAGCAUGCCACGGUGAAUACGUUCCCGGGCCUU
rnacentral:rRNA from 1 species